rnacentral:lncRNA from 1 species
UUUUAUUAUAAAACAAUAUUUUUAGAGUUAUAUAUAAAUAAUUUUUGUAGCAUAAAAGUUAAGUAAAUUCAUACAUACUGUAAUACAGUAAGCCAAAGUAUUUAAUUUAAUUUACAAUAAUAAGUAGGCCCCCGAAUAAAUAAAAGUAAAGAGGACUAUAACCUACAGUUUGAAGAAUGCAAACCCAACGGUAGUCCUCGAUGAGAUCAGCUAUCUACAGUCUGAUCUGAACCUGAAAUGGAGGGAAAAGAGAGUGGUGAGAUUUUAUAAACCCAGUGAGUAAACAAACAUCAUUCAAAAGAUCUAAAGUCUGAGUAAAAUGAGACAAUUAAAAUAUUUCAUCUCAAUAUGUAUUUCAUAACAUAAAUGUUCAUUUCAUUUAAAUAUUCAACAUGGCUUAUGAGUAUUUUAAAAGCUUGGCUCUUGCUAAAAUCAUUCUCGAGGAUACCUUGGUCGAGGCAUCAAACCGAGUCCGCCAAGGCUGUUAAAAAGUUCGUAUACACGUAAAUAUAUUUUUAGUUUAAAAAAAAAGAACACAGCCAUUCCUUGGCGUUAGCAGAAUUCAUCGUCAUGAGGUGGUUCGACGUGACGUGAACUCUAACCAUACCUCAGGAGAUACCCUACGCACCUCUCCAACCGAGGUACAUAUAUAUAUCUAGAUUCUGUGCCCCUCUAAUAGGCUAGUCCACAGAACUCGCCUACUGCAGCAAGCUAAACCCACCAUACAAUAAAUUUUAACAGCAUGAUAGGGCUAAUAUAAUACUACCCAGCCUGCAAGGGUAAAAUAAAAUAAUUCAUACAAUUCAUAAAACACAGCCCAAUCAGUCAUGCCAACACAAUAACAAUAUAAUAUAAGCCAUCAAUUUCCAAUCAUAAAUUUGCAACAUGCCAGUGGUGUCACGACUCGGCACUCCCUUCAAGCUCGUGACAACCGCCGUGAAGUCUCGGUAAAUAUUCAUUACUCGGUAUGUCAACCGAAACCACGCAAGGCUCUUGCAUCAGUUUUCCACUUCCCCUGUGAGCAAUAGUUACUAAAUAUCGAGUUUUGAGAGAAUAUAAACUAUUUUAGAUCGAAAACAAUCAAAAUAAAAUUUUGACCACACAGGGGUAUUUUGAUCAUUUUUACCUGAAAAUUUCGAAACUUGAUAAAAAUACAACGUAUGGUAGAAAGAUAUCCAUUUCCGAUUAAAAAUAAAUUUUUGUAAUCUAAAUCAUCCAUUUGAAGUGAAAAGUUGGCUAAUUAGACUAAAUAAAAAUAUUCGAUAAUAUAUUCCAUUUUCUUAUAAAACAAUUUUUAUAGAACUAUGCAUAAAUAAUUUUUGUAGUGUGAGAACAAAAUAAAUUCAUACACAUAGUGAUACAGUAAACCAGGUAUUCAAAAUUAUCCUACAGUGGCAUAUGGACCCUGAGAUAACCAAAAGUGUGCUAGAAUGUAGACCUACGAUUUCCAAGGAAGUAAGUCCAAAAGAGAUCCUUGAUGAAAUCGACUACCUACAGAUUAUCCUGAACCUGAAAUAGUUAAAAAAAGAAAGGGUGAGUUUUCAUAAACUCAGUGUGUCAUGACCCGGAACUCCCAUCGAGCUCGUGACAACCGCCGCGACGUCUCGAUCGACAUUCAUUACUCGAAAUGUCAACCGAAACCCCGCAAGGCUUUACUAUCAGCUUCUCAUUUCCCCUGUGGGUAACUGUUUCCAAA